rnacentral:rRNA from 1 species
UACGUAGGUGGCAAGCGUUGUCCGGAUUUACUGGGCGUAAAGAGCGCGCAGGCGGUCGUUCAAGUCGAGUGUGAAAGCCCCCCGGCUCAACUGGGGAGGGUCACUCGAUACUGAUCGACUCGAAGGCAGAAGAGGGAAGCGGAAUUCCCGGUGUAGUGGUGAAAUGCGUAGAUAUCGGGAGGAACACCAGUGGCGAAGGCGGCUUUCUGGUCUGCUCUUGACGCUGAGGAGGCGAAAGCCAGGGGAGCAAAGCGGG